AUUCACCUGCAAAAAUUCACCUGCAAAAAUUCAACUGCAAAAGUGAUGAACUUUAAUGACCCAAGCCAGAGCAAUCAGCACCAGAUCGAGUCGAGUGGCUCUCAGCCAAUUAAAUUACGCUGUUUGAUCACAUGACACCGUUAGCCAGCAGUGUGUCUCCUAAAAGAGAGCUGUUUAAAGAGGCAGUUUUGAAUUUAGGAGCGCCAAGAUGGCAGCGGCAAACCCUGGCGGCUCUCCGGUGGAAAAGACCCGUCACCUUCUGGGAGUGGCGGCUCCCGUGGGAACAGC